GAACUUUCCUUCAUACCUGUAUGACGGCGGUGUUAAAAGGUUUUAUGCUGGUGACAGUUUAAGUCUGGAACAAAGCAUUGCAAUGUGCCUGUUGGAUGUCAUGAAAGGAUAGUCGAGGUUGUAUGAUGGUGACAGUUUUUGUCUGGAACAAACAUGUCUAAGAGUAAGUAGCAGAUGAUCCAGGCCAGGAUGAGGCACAGGGCCAGUUCCCACCUCAGGCUGCCCACCUCCUCGAUACCACCGGAGAUUUUCAGCACUCUCCGCCUGCAUGUGGAGAGCACAGGGGGAAAUGGUGGCCAUGGCGAGGGCGACAACCAACAAGAGUGAUGGGAAAAUGAUUGAGGGAUGACAGGGAGGAUAGAGAAAGUGAGAACGCUCUUACUGCCAGAACUCUACAACCGGCAGAGUGCUGUUGUGUCUGUGUGUCACUCUGAGGCUCUGAUUCACAAGGCUGACAUCCAGGCAUGACUCUACAAG